UACGUAGGGUGCGAGCGUUGUCCGGAAUUAUUGGGCGUAAAGGGGCUCGUAGGCGGUUUUGUCGCGUCGGGAGUGAAAUCCUACGGCUUAACUGUGGGCUUGCUUUCGAUACGGGCAGACUAGAGGUAUGCAGGGGGAGAACGGAAUUCCUGGUGUAGCGGUGAAAUGCGCAGAUAUCAGGAGGACACCGGUGGCGAAGGCGGGUCUCUGGGCAAUAACUGACGCUGAGGAGCGAAAGCGUGGGGAGCGAACAGG
rnacentral:rRNA from 1 species